UACGUAGGCAGCGAGCGUUGUUCGGAGUUACUGGGCGUAAAGGGUGUGUAGGCGGUUGUUUAAGUUUGGUGUGAAAUCUCCCGGCUCAACUGGGAGGUGCGCCGAAUACUGAAUGACUUGGAGUGCGGGGAGAGGAAAGUGGAAUUCCUGGUGUAGCGGUGAAAUGCGUAGAUAUCAGGAGGAACACCGGUGGUGUAGACGGCUUUCUGGACCGUAACUGACGCUGAGACACGAAAGCGUGGGUAGCAAACAGG
rnacentral:rRNA from 1 species